rnacentral:lncRNA from 1 species
GUGAGUUCUGUGGAGCACGUUCUGCUGGGAGGGUGAGCUCUUCUCUCCUCUUCCACCAUCGUUCCUGCUUCUUUACAGGGAGCAGCCCCGCAUGAGACUGUGAUAGGCAAGGAUCUAAGGUGCCUUUGCUGGGUGCUGUGGGCAGAGAGAGCCUCACUUUUCCCUUGCCACAUCUGGAGUCUUCAAGGAAGUGAGAAGUGUUCAUGUUGCAGCUGCAGCCCCUUUCAUAACAAGUUUGGAUUGAAGACUCCAACAACAACUUAACGACCAACCAAAAAUUCCCACCAUUGUGGCUACCAAUUCUAACCCCUUGACCUUAACACACAAUUUUGCUUCCUGGUCUGGUUCAUUAUCUCCUAUCUUCUUCUCCUCUCUCAGAAAAACAAGUCCAUUCAUAGUUACAGUUGUGGGAUGUGGGGAGGAGCCCUCAUCUGUGCCCUAGAAAGGAGAGCACUGCAGGAAGGGGGCCACUAAUUAGCUGGUCCCAGAGCUUCAUGAAGCUGGUAUGGUUUCUGUAUUUUUAAGGCUUCAAGGCAAGGGGCCAGGCUGGGCAAAGAACAAUGAGUGCAUCGCAGAGGUGAAGCUUUUAAUGAUUCAGUCGCUAAUGAAAUGGCACUCCACGGGUUCACUUAUUAGUAACUUAGCUCAGACAGCCAUGUCCCACUGUCAGCUUGCCACUGAAGGCCCAGUGCGACCUCAGAAUUGUCAGCUCCACCUGAAAAAGAGCAAAUGUAGCAGGAAAUCCAGAAGCAGCAAGCAUAAUUUGGAGCGGGAAGAUUAACAACAACAGAGAGGGCCGUGGGAAUCACUGCAUCUCCAGUUUGCUGGGACGUUAAGCCGGGAGCAGAGCUUCUAUGAAGAACAGACUAACCUUGCACUACUUGGGUUACAUCUGAUUUGUAAACAAUGGAACGGCUUGAUUGAACAUUUUUUUUUUGGAGGCUUGGAUGACAGUGUUGGUAUUAGAGGAGUGACAAGCACAACUCCAUUCUCCACUAAUUAUAUACUGUGUGGCUGUUCCUGAUGCUUUUCAGGGCACAGAGAUUUCUAACUUUAUGUUUGGAAAAUGAUUUAUGGGGAAAAACACUUCCGUACAAAUCUUGCUUGACAACUGGGUCAUCGUGAAGGAUAUGUAGAUGUAAAAUUUUAUGACGCUUCCCAUUUCUGUAACUUUAUUUGUUUGAAUAACUUAGUAUCCUUUGCAUAAGUUAUUGAAUUACACCUGCUAAAAUGCCUCUGUCACAUGGGAAUUGUAUUUACCUUUGAAUUUAGAGUUGGAUAGGGAGGGCCGUCAUGUUGGGGACUGUCUUUUUGAGGGACAGGCCAUAUCUUACAUCUCUGGUUGGCUCACAUCUAUGUUUAAAGACUACUUCCUAAAAUGUACACUCAUAAAUGGAAUUUUCUCCUUUAAAUGCCCAUGUAUGUCCUUAUUAAC